UUAAUCAUUAUUAUGUAACAUACAAACAAAUAAUAAUGAUAAUAAAAUAUCUUUUAUUAAUAAACAAAAUGAUAUACAAAAAGGUCCAAGAUAAUGGCCUAGGAAAAAUACACUAACAGUUCAGCUUGUGGGUCAUUACCUCAGGAUCAAUCCCUAGCAUAUCUGAGGGCUUCUAGGCAAAGCUCAAGGCGUGCCCUCUAAUUAAAGCCAUCGUAGCUUCCUUCUGGCUCUUCUCUAGGCUCGAGUUGAUGCUGAAGACCUUGUCACUUUCUUCCUCGGAUAAUGGGAAGGUCUCCAACUUGUCUACAGGUUCAAUCCUUGCCUCUUUCUUUUCAUCUCGGACCUCCAUAACUUCAGUGUUUAUUUCUUCCAGUUGGGCAUUUAGUUCCUCCAUUGUGGCCAGGUACACAACUCUAGCCUCCUCCUAUCUUCCCCGAACUAUACCUAUCCUUGCCUUCGUAGGAAAUUUCAUGGUUAGAUACCGAAUGGUAGUCACUGUCAUAUAGCAUCAGUCUUCCCAAGAUGGCAUUAUAGUUCAGGGGUAGCUUUACCAUUAGGAACAAUGCAUAGUGUGUUCAGGAUAGGGGUGGCUCCCCUAAGGUGAAGGCCACCAUUACUUUCCCUUUCACUACAACUGGAGUUCCCCCUAUCCCCUUGACUGGAGUUUGGUCCCUAACCAACUACUCUUCGGGUAUGUUCAUCUUCUAGAAUACCCGGUAGGACAGUAGGUUCACCUUG
rnacentral:lncRNA from 1 species